rnacentral:misc_RNA from 1 species
UACUCUCACACUCUCCAAUUUUAGGAUUGGUAGUGGUGGACUUGGGUGUUGCUGCUUCACUGUGGCUCACCUCAAAUGCAUUAGUGCAACUCUUGACUGAACCAUAGUAUGGCAUGAUAAGUAUCUUUGCCAGCUCCUCUCACCAGGAUGGUCCAUCCAGAGCUCUGUGCUUCGAACUGUCUAUGGACAAUCUUUGACAAC